rfam:Nitrospira bacterium SG8_3 WOR_8-12_10863, whole genome shotgun sequence.
GGCUGGGCCCUGUGCAACAGAAUCCUGCGAACCCCGCCAGGUCCGGAAGGAAGCAACGGUAAGUGGGCGAGUCUGUGUGCCGCAGGAUCACCUGGCCCCG